rnacentral:tRNA from 1 species
GGGAAGUUAUACCGUAGUUAGUAGCGGGCUUGACUGUAAACCAAGUGUCCUUGGACUCGGAUGGUGCGACUCCAUCACUUCCCA